rnacentral:rRNA from 1 species
UACGGGGGGGGCAAGCGUUGUUCGGAAUUACCGGGCGUAAAGGGCUUGUAGGCGGCCAAAUAAGUCGGAUGUGAAAUCCCCAGGCUUAACUUGGGAACUGCAUCCGAUACUGGAUGGCUUGAAUCCGGGAGAGGGAUGCGGAAUUCCAGGUGUAGCGGUGAAAUGCGUAGAUAUCUGGAGGAACACCGGUGGCGAAGGCGGCAUCCUGGACCGGCAUUGACGCUGAUGAGCGAAAGCCAGGGGAGCAAACGGG